UACGGGGGGGGCAAGCGUUGUUCGGAAUUACUGGGCGUAAAGGGCUCGUAGGCGGCCCACUAAGUCCGACGUGAAAUCCCCAGGCUUAACUUGGGAACUGCGUCGGAUACUGGUGGGCUUGAAUCCGGGAGAGGGAUGCGGAAUUCCAGGUGUAGCGGUGAAAUGCGUAGAUAUCUGGAGGAACACCGGUGGCGAAGGCGGCAUCCUGGACCGGUAUUGACGCUGAGUGAGCGAAAGCCAGGGGAGCAAACGGG
rnacentral:rRNA from 1 species